rnacentral:misc_RNA from 1 species
AACAUCGCGCACCUGCGGGAACCUGCGGAGGGAUCAUUACAGAGUUGCAAAACUCCCUAAACCAUUGUGAACGUUACCUAAACCGUUGCUUCGGCGGGCGGCCCGGGUCCUUCCCGGCGCCCAUCGGCCCUCGCGGGCGCCCGCCGGAGGUAAACCAAACUAUUGCAUUGUAUGGCCUCUCUGAGUCUUCUGUACUGAAUAAGUCGAAACUUUUAACAAUGGAUCUCAGAUCGGAAGAGC